GAGGUAUAUCACUGAAAAGCAAGUCACUUAUGACCAGACUGAGAAGCAACUGAUGGUGAGACUAGACCUGUAGGAAGAGGAACGGCUACACGUAAUAGAGAAGCAACUGAUGGUGAUACUAGAGCUGUAAGAAGAGGAACAGCUACACGUAAUAGUAAGUUCUUUACGCUAGCAGUAAGUGUAUCUAU